rnacentral:lncRNA from 1 species
AUUAGUUAUAAUUUUACAAUUUUAUAGUACAUUGUUUUAGGAAAAAAUCAACAUUUUUAGUCUUGUAAAGCUAAAGGACCAUUUUUAAAGAUAAUUUUAUCCCAAAUAGAGGCCCAAAUCUGAGCUUAAUCUUUUGACCCAUCAACAAAUUUUUGAGAAAUUAAUCCAAGUCGUUCAUUCCAACUCUAUCUAAGGGCCAAGCUCAUUUCUUUUAGGGAAGACCAAAAAACCCUAUCCAUCAUAUUUUUCAUGCUCCAUCUUGAACCCUAGGAAGAGAAAAACAACCAACCACCGAGCCAGCUCCCUCCAGUCCCGUUUCGACCACCACCCUCACAAACACUCUAAUCUCAAGACAGCCGUCGCCGCCUUACCCGCCUGAAUCCUAGACCUCCAACUCUAAAUGACCACCCUCCGAGCCAUUUUUGUUCUUCUUUAUUCGAACACAAGAUCAAAAAGCCAUCUGAACUCCCUCACCCCAAGAACGAUCCAACCGCUGGACAGCCUAGCCGCCGGCCACUACCAAUAUCGCCGGAAAACAACCAAAACAACAACCCCUAAUCCCGAUCUCCUCUAGAAACUCACGAACAGAAGACAGAGAUAGAGGAAUCAGUUGAACUUUAAGACAUCCAUGGCUGCAGGUUUUCUCUUCUAAAAAUAUACAACAAACAAGACAUGAGCAGAACCCUAAGGAACCAAACGGAUCUCCCCCAUCAGCUUCCCUUCUUCACCAUCCCGUUCAUACAACAACUCACAGCCACGACCACACACAUACGAUAAACAGGUUGAAAAACGAAGAGGGGGGUGUUUGGACAGAGAACAGAGAGAAUACUGAUGGAAUUUUCUUGGAAUUUUGGGACAUAAUUUGAAAAAAAUAAGAAACUAAGUUCCGCGCUAACUACUUCUUCUUCGUUUCUUUUGGUUUGAUUUAGACUUGAAAUUUAGAAAAGAAAAAAGACAAAGCAUAAAAUUUUGAGGCAGGACGCUGAGUCGAGGUUCGGGGUUCCGGUUCUUAGCAUUGUCAAACUAUCAAACCGUCUAAUUCCGGAUCUGUUUGUGGUUUAUUCGUUCCUUGACUCGUCUUUCUUUUCUAGAAUUAUCUCAUAAGUUUUGUUUGUCUUUGCUUGGAUGAAUAACAAUUGUGGAAUGUUUGUCGCAUGAGAUGAGCUGACCUGGUUGUUGUUUUAUUAAAUUAGUUGUUGAAUUUGAUUUGUAGCGUUAGCAUGCCAAACUAAAAUGAGAUUACUAAUUGAGAAUUCCACCUCCAUCUUUUUGACUUUGAAAUUGUGAU